UUUCCUUGUGGCACUUGCCUCCAUCGUAAUUGAGAACAUUCUGUAUGAGUCCUGGUGUCAUGUCUGGUUCCUUCUAUAGUGGAUUAGGAAACCUAGCUUGUUCAUUCAUGGCUACAACUAAAACAACAACACCCAAAAAAUGUUUGUUGAGUGAAUAAAAUGAAUGGAGAUAAAGAACAUCACACAGUAAGUGAUCAAGAAAUGGCUUCCUGGAGACCAGAGAGAGCCUUGCCUCUCCACAAGUACGGGGUGGAGCCUUGACAGCCUAGCUGAUCCAGGAAUAUCCAUAGAUGUGCAGGUGGACAUCGUUAAUCAUCUCUCCAUCCAAUUGCCUUCUUCACCUGCUUGUUUCUUUGUCUUCUCUCUGAGAAUAUGUCAUCGACUUUCAGGAAGAUUCUGGAAUCCUUGUUCAUCCCUUAAUGAUGCAGGCUUCCUCAUUCCUGGAAGGUCCUUCUGACUUCACAGAGAGCUCUGUAGGAGAGGUCUUCAGUGAGAUGUAAAUCACUAUUUCCGUGAGGAGGAGACCCCAAAUGAUGGCUCAAAGUUGCUCAUUUUGGAUGGAUCAUGGAAAUCCCCUCUGGAUUUUGGAAGCAGGCAGUCAGUGGCACCAUCCUGCCAUCUUCUUUUUAACAUUCAAUCCAGCAAACACCUUAAGCUUUAAUAAACAUCUCCUUUAAUAGUGUUGACUCCAAGCUAAUAAGGCAACUAGCAAAUCAAGUGAAGUGCCACAGGUAGGGCCUUGUCAGCCUGAAAGCUCUUGUUGGGGCUGCAUACCUGGAGCCCACUGGAAGCGCUAAGCUGUGUGGCAGCUGGAAGUCUGCCCUCAGAAGAGCCUGUUCACUUCCCCGAUGGCUGUGGGAAACCUGGAUGAAAAAGGAUGUGGGAGAAGAGCCAAGGAUGCCACCAUUUUCUCAGGAGAAAGCAGAGGAGAACUGAGGAGCAUCCAUG
rnacentral:lncRNA from 1 species